rnacentral:rRNA from 1 species
GUGCCAGCAGCCGCGGUAAGACGUAGGGGGCCAGCGUUGUUCGGAAUUACUGGGUGUAAAGGGUUCGUAGGCGGUGUGGCAAGUCGGGAGUGAAAUCUCUGGGCUCAACCCAGAGUCUGCUUCCGAAACUGCUGUGCUUGAGUGUGGGAGAGGCGCGUGGAAUUGCAGGUGUAGCGGUGAAAUGCGUAGAUAUCUGCAGGAACGCCCGUGGCGAAAGCGAGCUCCUGGACAUCUCCUGACACUGAGGCACGAAAGCUAGGGGAGCAAACGGGAUUAGAUACCCGGGUAGUCC